CACGUAGGAGGCGAGCGUUGUCCGGAAUCAUUGGGCGUAAAGAGCGCGCAGGCGGCUUGGCAAGUCGGGUGUGAAAUCCCGGGGCUCAACCCCGGGACUGCAUUCGAUACUGUCAGGCUAGAGGUAGGUAGGGGAGAGUCGGAAUUCCGGAUGUAGCGGUGGAAUGACGCAGAUAUCAGGAGGAACACCGGUGGCGAAGGCGGAUCUCUGGGCCUUACCUGACGCUCAGGCGCGAAAGCCUAGGGGAGCGAACAGG
rnacentral:rRNA from 1 species